AAAGACCUUUCUUAACUGUUACAAGAAUGCAAUGGCAUCAUGUGAAGACAAGCGUUUGUUUAAUCCACUGAUAAUGGAAGAACUUUCAGUAAAAUCGGUUCUGAACGGAUGUUGUGCAAAAGAAGCAGUAAUUAUGGAUGGUACUAACCAAUGUUUUGGAGAAUUUUACAUGGAUAUUCAUACGAUUAUCAGAGAGUAUUGUUUUCGGAUGGACAUUUUGACUCAAAUAGCAGUCAAAUCUGUUGACUCGGGAAAUUGGACAACGUAUUGUGGAUUGGUUGAUGAAGCGCAACACUGCAUUAAAAGUGUUAUCAGCCCAUUGAACUGUACCACAGCAUAUUACGACGCCACUCAGCACCUUAUGUAUGCUUCACAGCCACCAUAUUGUUGGGAUAGUUCUUUCAAUUUUUAUUGGAUUGAUCGCUAUGGCAUCAAUUCAUGUACGUCUAUUUGGUCCAAGUGCCAUUAUAGAAGUAUGGUGUUAAUUUUCCUAU